rnacentral:rRNA from 1 species
UACGGAGGGGGCUAGCGUUGUUCGGAAUUACUGGGCGUAAAGCGCGCGUAGGCGGACCUGCAAGUCGGGGGUGAAAGCCCGAGGCUCAACCUCAGAACUGCCUUCGAUACUGCGGGUCUCGAGUCCGGGAGAGGUGAGUGGAAUUCCUAGUGUAGAGGUGAAAUUCGUAGAUAUUAGGAAGAACACCAGUGGCGAAGGCGGCUCACUGGCCCGGUACUGACGCUGAGGAGCGAAAGCGUGGGGAG